AAUAGAUACCCAGGUAGUCCUAGCCGUAAACGAUACUCGCUAGGUGUCCGGCCACGGUGCGACCGUUGUCGGUGCCGUAGGGAAGGCCGUGAAGCGAGCCACCUGGGAAGUACGGCCGCAAGGCUGAAACUUAAAGGAAUUGGCGGGGGAGCACCACAACGGGUGGAGCUUGCGGUUUAAUUGGAUUCAACGCCGGAAAUCUUACCGGGACCGACAGCAACAUGAAGGCCAGGCUGAAGACUUUGCCGGAUUAGCUGAGAGGUGGUGCAUGGCCGUCGUCAGUUCGUACUGUGAAGCAUCCUGUUAAGUCAGGCAACGAGCGAGACCCACGCCCACAGUUGCCAGCGUACUCUCUGGAGUGACGGGUACACUGUGGGGACCGCCGCUGCUAAAGCGGAGGAAGGAAUGGGCAACGGUAGGUCAGUAUGCCCCGAAUAUCCCGGGCUACACGCGAGCUACAAUGGUUGGUACAAUGGGUAUCUACCCCGAAAGGGGAUGGAAAUCUCCUAAAGCCAAUCUUAGUUCGGAUUGAGGGCUGCAACUCGCCCUC
rnacentral:rRNA from 1 species